GAUUUAGAUUGAUUAGUGAUGUAGACACUACAAAGGCCUUCCUUCAUUCUUAAUCAAUAGAGCAUGUCAAGAUCUUAGUAAGCUUGUUAUACCAUCUACAAGACUUACUAUAAAAAUUGAUAUAAUAUUGACUAAGUGCAUAUUGAUGCUUAUGACAUAUUUGAAUAGUGCUGCCUUAUUGUGCUAUCCACAAGGGUGGCAUUGUUUAAGUAUGAUCAUAUG
rnacentral:lncRNA from 1 species